rnacentral:lncRNA from 1 species
GGGAGCAAGAAGGUCUCUGCCAGUGGGGUCAUUCAGGUCGUCAGGCCCCAUACUCCCAUUAAUAAGGCUGCCUGAAAGAGAAGACAAUCCUCAACCCAGUAUGUCAGAGCUUUGAGAUCUGUAGCUACUGUCUCACUCUUCUGCAGUUUCACACACUCUAAGGGACGUGAGUCAUCAGAUUUUCUGAGAUAUCAGGGUCUGGCAGACAAUGCAGAAUAAUAAAAACAUUACCCUAGAAAUACAGAAGGAAACUCCUGUCUCAAGAAGAAAUUGAACGUACUCAAUGUGGAGGCCCAGAA